UGUCCAGCAACUCUUAUCCCUACCUCCGCGUGGUACCGGCCGGGCUGCGAGCAACCUUAGGAAAGAUCGGAUAAUCAUCCCCGAUAGGAAAAUUGGUCUUAGACUGACAGGGAAG
rnacentral:ribozyme from 1 species